GGCUGGUCCGAUGGUAGUCGGUUAUCAGAGCGUUUUAACGCUAGUGUCUCUACAGUUGGUGUACAAACCCCCACUGCUGAAUUUGACUGGCUUUAA
rnacentral:Y_RNA from 1 species